GUCAGAUUCCCCAUCUACCGACGGAAAAGGCAACAGCAACAGGAGCUGCCAGUCCGAAGGACCACCACUGGUCCACUUCUCCGCCGCCAUAAUUUCCACUCAUCGCUGGCAAAAUCCGUGAAUCCAUCCAGGUCUUCAAUUGAGAUUAGCUAAGUCGAUAGUCUUCUUUGACUGUUCUGUUCUAUCGAGUGGUUUGAUAUCGAGAUUAGCUAAAUAUUUUGCUAUUUCCUAUAGCUUUUUGUCUUCAAAUCAUACCCUCGUGAUGCUUCAAUAUUUCUUUACUUGUACACUUGCAGUUGCCUCUAUCUGCUACCAGCUUGCUUGAUCGAGAUGAGUUUUUCAGGGUUUGUCGCUUAUUUUACUUGUGUUAGAUAUAAUCUUAAUGACAAUGCUGACUUUUCAUGUGUUUUGGCAUAGUAGAACUGGAGUAUUUAAUGAGGCUUCCAUCAUCUUUGUUAUGGUUGAAUAUGGUUGUUUCUUCUUGCU